rnacentral:rRNA from 1 species
AGCGCGCGCCCUUCGGGGUGGCGAGCGGCGGACGGGUGAGUAACACGUGGGGAAUCUGUCCUGAAGACGGGGAUCACCCUUGGAAACGCGGGUCAAUACCGGAUAAGCCUUCUUGAUCGCAUGAUCUGAGAAGGGAAAGGUGCAGCAAUGUGCCGUUUUAGGAGGAUCUCGCGGCGCAUUGGCUAGUUGGUGGGGUCACGGCCUACCAAGGCGACGAUGCGUAGCCGGCCUGAGAGGGUGAACGGCCACAUUGGGACUGAGACACGGCCCAGACUCCUACGGGAGGCAGCAGUGGGGAAUCUUAGACAAUGGGCGCAAGCCUGAUCUAGCCAUGCCGCGUGAGCGAUGAAGGCCUUAGGGUUGUAAAGCUCUUUCAGGGGGGAAGAUAAUGACUGUACCCCCAGAAGAAGCCCCGGCUAACUCCGUGCCAGCCGCCGCAGUAAGAC